rnacentral:rRNA from 1 species
CCUACGGGGUGCAGCAGUGGGGAAUAUUGGACAAUGGGCGAAAGCCUGAUCCAGCCAUGCCGCGUGUGUGAAGAAGGCCUUCGGGUUGUAAAGCACUUUCAGUGGGGAAGAAAGCCUUGGGGCUAAUACCCUCGAGGAAGGACAUCACCCACAGAAGAAGCACCGGCUAACUCCGUGCCAGCAGCCGCGGUAAUACGGAGGGUGCGAGCGUUAAUCGGAAUUACUGGGCGUAAAGCGCGCGUAGGCGGUCUGAUAAGCCGGUUGUGAAAGCCCCGGGCUCAACCUGGGAACGGCAUCCGGAACUGUCAGGCUAGAGUGCAGGAGAGGAAGGUAGAAUUCCCGGUGUAGCGGUGAAAUGCGUAGAGAUCGGGAGGAAUACCAGUGGCGAAGGCGGCCUUCUGGACUGACACUGACGCUGAGGUGCGAAAGCGUGGGUAGCAAACAGGAUUAGAUACCCGAGUAUC